rnacentral:rRNA from 1 species
ACGUACUGUGCGAACGUUAUUCGGAAUCACUGGGCUUAAAGGGUGCGUAGGCGGCAAUCCAAGUCAGAUGUGAAAUGCCUGAGCUUAACUGAGGCACUGCGUUUGAAACUGGCUUGCUUGAGUAUUUCAGGGGUGUGCGGAACUGCCAGUGGAGCGGUGAAAUGUGUUGAUAUUGGCAGGAACACCGGAGGCGAAAGCGGCACACUGGGGAAUAACUGACGCUGAGGCACGAAAGCCAGGGUAGCGAACGGGAUUAGAUACCCCGGUAGUCCUGGCUGUAAACGAUGAGUACUGAGCGGGAGGAGGUUUCCUCUUUCUGCUGUAGUGAAAACGUUAAGUACUCCGCCUGGGGAGUAUGGUCGCAAGGCUG